GAAAUAGAACCUGAAACCGUGUGCUUACAAGUAGUCAGAGCCCGUUAAUGGGUGAUGGCGUGCCUUUUGUAGAAUGAACCGGCGAGUUACGAUUUGAUGCAAGGUUAAGCAGUAAAUGUGGAGCCGUAGCGAAAGCGAGUCUGAAUAGGGCGUUUAGUAUUUGGUCGUAGACCCGAAACCAGGUGAUCUACCCUUGGUCAGGUUGAAGUUCAGGUAACACUGAAUGGAGGACCGAACCGACUUACGUUGAAAAGUGAGCGGAUGAACUGAGGGUAGCGGAGAAAUUCCAAUCGAACCUGGAGAUAGCUGGUUCUCUCCGAAAUAGCUUUAGGGCUAGCCUCAAGUGAUGAUUAUUGGAGGUAGAGCACUGUUUGGACGAGGGGCCCCUCUCGGGUUACCGAAUUCAGACAAACUCCGAAUGCCAAUUAAUUUAACUUGGGAGUCAGAACAUGGGUGAUAAGGUCCGUGUUCGAAAGGGAAACAGCCCAGACCACCAGCUAAGGUCCCAAAAUAUAUGUUAAGUGGAAAAGGAUGUGGCGUUGCCCAGACAACUAGGAUGUUGGCUUAGAAGCAGCCAUCAUUUAAAGAGUGCGUAAUAGCUCACUAGUCGAGUGACACUGCGCCGAAAAUGUACCGGGGCUAAACAUAUUACCGAAGCUGUGGAUUGUCCUUUGGACAAUGGUAGGAGAGCGUUCUAAGGGCGUUGAAGCAUGAUCGUAAGGACAUGUGGAGCGCUUAGAAGUGAGAAUGCCGGUGUGAGUAGCGAAAGACGGGUGAGAAUCCCGUCCACCGAUUGACUAAGGUUUCCAGAGGAAGGCUCGUCCGCUCUGGGUUAGUCGGGUCCUAAGCUGAGGCCGACAGGCGUAGGCGAUGGAUAACAGGUUGAUAUUCCUGUACCACCUAUAAUCGUUUUAAUCGAUGGGGGGACGCAGUAGGAUAGGCGAAGCGUGCGAUUGGAUUGCACGUCUAAGCAGUAAGGCUGAGUAUUAGGCAAAUCCGGUACUCGUUAAGGCUGAGCUGUGAUGGGGAGAAGACAUUGUGUCUUCGAGUCGUUGAUUUCACACUGCCGAGAAAAGCCUCUAGAUAGAAAAUAGGUGCCCGUACCGCAAACCGACACAGGUAGUCAAGAUGAGAAUUCUAAGGUGAGCGAGCGAACUCUCGUUAAGGAACUCGGCAAAAUGACCCCGUAACUUCGGGAGAAGGGGUGCUCUUUAGGGUUAACGCCCAGAAGAGCCGCAGUGAAUAGGCCCAAGCGACUGUUUAUCAAAAACACAGGUCUCUGCUAAACCGUAAGG
rnacentral:rRNA from 1 species